rnacentral:lncRNA from 1 species
UGUAGAAUUGGGUUUUUUUUUAGGUUUGGAAAGACUAGGCAAUUGUUGCUGAAAGUCAGUGUUUGUAUUGGUGAACUAGGAGUUUUGCAAUAAAAGAAAGGUUCGUACUCUUGACUAUUUGAUGAAAUUGGAGAUACUUCUACAAUUGAAAUUUCAGAGGUGUCUAGAGGGUUGAGUAUGUUGAGUGCAUGCGAAGUUGUGUUAAUCCGAUGAUACGGAU